rnacentral:rRNA from 1 species
CGCGGCCUAUCAGCUUGUUGGUGAGGUAAAGGCUCACCAAGGCGACGACGGGUAUCCGGCCUGAGAGGGCGACCGGCCACACUGGGACUGAGACACGGCCCAGACUCCUACGGGAGGCAGCAGUGGGGAAUAUUGGGCAAUGGAGGAAACUCUGACCCAGCGACGCCGCGUGCGGGAUGAAGGCCUUCGGGUUGUAAACCGCUUUCAGCAGGGAAGAAGCGAAAGUGACGGUACCUGCAGAAGAAGCACCGGCUAACUAUGUGCCAGCAGCCGCGGUAAUACAUAGGGUGCAAGCGUUGUCCGGAUUUAUUGGGCGUAAAGAGCUCGUAGGUGGUUCGUCACGUCGGAUGUGAAACUCUGGGGCUUAACCCCAGACCUGCAUUCGAUACGGGCGAGCUUGAGUAUGGUAGGGGAGUCUGGAAUUCCUGGUGUAGCGGUGGAAUGCGCAGAUAUCAGGAGGAACACCAAUGGCGAAGGCAGGACUCUGGGCCAUUACUGACACUGAGGAGCGAAAGCGUGGGGAGCGAACAGGAUUAGAUACCCUGGUAGUCCACGCCGUAAACGGUGGGCACUAGUUGUGGGGACCUUCCACGGUCUCUGCGACGCAGCUAACGCAUUAAGUGCCCCGCCUGGGGAGUACG